rnacentral:rRNA from 1 species
UACGUAGGGUGCAAGCGUUGUCCGGAAUUAUUGGGCGUAAAGAGCUCGUAGGCGGUCUGUCGCGUCUGCUGUGAAAACUCGGGGCUUAACCCCGGGCCUGCAGUGGGUACGGGCAGACUAGAGUGCGGUAGGGGAGACUGGAAUUCCUGGUGUAGCGGUGAAAUGCGCAGAUAUCAGGAAGAACACCAAUGGCGAAAGCAGCUUUCUGGGACGGUACUGAUGCUGAGACGCGAAAGCGUGGGGAGCGAACAGG